UGCGCUGCUGCGGGGAGGACGCUACGGACGGGAACUGCAGUGGAGUUUGGGGUUCCCGGCUGGGUUGGGGUGGGGGAAGCUGCACGAGCCGGGCCGACGCCAGGGAGCGCUGCAGAGGCCGUUUGGCCCGGUGGCUCUGCGGCCCAACACCCGAGGCGGCGGCGCUGUAAUGGCACUGGCCGCCAGUCCGGCGGGUCUGGAGAGUGGGGACGUCCAGCAGUCCCUGGAGCCACCAGCCUAGGAACUUGCGACGUCGGCGCUGUGGGUGGAGGAAAAGGCCUGGUCUGCUGCCUCUUCUCGUGCAGCAAAAUCCGCUGCUGCGGAGCCGGCAGGCGGGCGCUCAGUAGAUACAGAAUCCCUGAUCUGCCUGGGCAUCACCUCACUGUGUAGGAGCUGCUUAAAGUCCUUUGAACUGGCACCAUUGCCUUCAGAUUGAAGGCCAAGCUCCUCAUUAUGACAGGCAUAAAACUCUCAUUCGUCCUCCACUGUCCCAGCUCGGGGCUCCGGCUGUUCUGUCUCUCACUUCUUGCAGUUGUCUCUGCUUAGUCGCCCGAGCAGCUGGGACUACAGUUGACUACAGGAAAGGGAUCUCUAUCCAGACCCCAAGAGAGGGUUCUUGGAUCUUAUGCAAGAAAGAAUUCAGGGCAAGUCCACAGCGCAAAACAAGAGCAAGUUUCAUUAAGAAAGUAAAGGGAUGAAAGUAAGAAGAGGGAGGCAAGUAAAGGGAUGAAAGUAAGAAGAGUGGGCUUCCUCAGACAUCUGGCACUUCUUCAGUGCACACUAGUUUUCUGGUUUUGAAUUCCGCACCUGAGUCUCAGGAUUCCACAGCGCUCUCAGGAUUCUGACUGAUAUACCAAGAAAAAGAAGAAAGGAGGGUCUUACUGAUACACCAAGAAACAAAAAUAGAAGGGCAUGCUGAUAUGGGAAAAGGAAAUCACGUCUCAUAAGUACCAGAUUCUGUUAGAGUUUUACACAUGUUGUUACGUGUAAUCCUUGUAACAACCUUGUAACGAAGACUUAAUCAUCUCUGCUCUCCUGAGAGGGAAACGGAACUUCAAAGAGGGUAAACAAUUUCUCCAGAUCCUUCAAAUAGUGACUAAUGAAGUUGGGAUUUAAAUUCAGGUCUUCCUGAAAACAAAACCCAUGUUAUUUCCCCUAUAGGAGCUGAAGGAGCUAUAGAA